rnacentral:lncRNA from 1 species
CUAAGCUACAAGCUCAAGCAAGGUAGAUAAGAUUCGUCUCAAAUCUAUUCUCAUAGAUUCACUCUUUCACUUGAUUCCUAGGGCUUGCUCUCAACAAGUAUAUGUGAGUGAGGUUAUGUAAUGGAAAGCAAGAUAUUCUCACACAAAAUUCAAUUAGAAACAUAAGAACUUUAUGGACAGAUCUCAUGAAAGGAGUCAAAU